GGAAUACCUAUUGUUGAAUAGCAGUUGGCGGUAUAGUUUGGUUUCGUUUGUUGUUAACUGCUGGGUGGAGAAUAGAUAGGAGAAUGACUGUGGGACUGACCUCUGGCCGGGGCUGUCGGCCAGGAUUUUCGGCUGCUGGGACUGUCGAGACUGUCGGGACUGGCAGAACUACCGGGACUCGGGAGCCCUAGAGCCGUGAAAGCCGUGAGACUCGUGAAUACCGCCAGAGCUCCUAUUAAGUAUUAUGCAUGUACAUACAUACACAGAGCUACAAGUUGCACUCUCGACCCUCUCAACACAUAGCCACUAGCACCUCAUCAACAGUGAGAUCAAGUGGGGACUUGAUCAAUUGAUUACAUUAUUACGAGAAUUCUCUUCUAAUUUACCGCAUCGGGACAUCAUUACACUUAAUACAUCUACUAUUCAUUAAGAAUUGGCGGCAGCGUUUAUUUAUUCUGGCACGGCAAAAUAUAAUCUAGGAAUAAUUGUCUCCAGGAAACCAAUACAAAUAUGGUGAGUCAAAAAGUUUUUGAAAAUUAAAAAAUAACGAAAUAGAUAUUUGAGUCCUUUUUUGACAAUGUAUUCCUUCAUUCAUACAAAACUUCAGUAUUCAAUUGCUCUUUUAUCAUUAUCAUAUAAUACUAAUUCAGGACCUGUUGAACAUCCUUGUGACACACCUUUUUCUCACUUAUUGAGUGAAUUUUAUAGAAAAAAUUAUGGCAUCUGCUGCAAACAGUUUAUAUAAUUUCUGUAAUAGUUCUAUUAUUUUUAACCUAUUUGCCAAUUCUCUUGAAGAAUUGAGAUUUCUUAUAAAUUGAGUUUAUUUAACAGAAUUUUUUUCACCAAUAUUGCAUUAAAAACCGAUAGACUCUGGACUCGUCUAGAGGAAUUCUUUGCCUUGACUUUUCUUUGUUUUUUUUUUUCUUUUUUCACCUGAGCUUUUUCAAUUAUAAAGUAGAGUUUCAAUAGAAAUUUAAUAAAAUCCUUUGGUGAAAAUUACGAAUUUUAUUCUAUUAAAUUCCUCCAUAUGCGUUUUUCUAGGAAAUUCUUCCUUGCGUUGGUGUUAAACAUUUCGCAGAGCAAUUCAACGAAUUUACAUAACUUGUUAGUGAUUUUUUAGUUCGUCCAUUGUUUUCUGCUUUGUACUUUAUAGCUACGAGUUUGAUUAUAAUUAUGUAUGGACGACUCAUUCAAGCGCUAAGGAACAUUAUAAUUGUCUAAUUUUGCGGAAAUUAUUGGGUAAUAAAGACGUGUUGAAUACUGUGCCAGUGUUGUCUGUCUCUUCAUAACAUAAUUUCUUAUUUUUUUUUUCUCUCUACGCCGUGUAAUUUGGUAAAAAAAAAAAAAA